UGGCGAGGUAACGGCUCACCAAACCUUUGACCGGUACGGGCCAUGAGAGUGGUAGCCCGGAGAUGGACACUGAGAUAGGGGUCCAGGCCCUACGGGGCGCAGCAGGCGCGAAAACUCCACACUGUACGUAAGUACGAUGGGGUUACCUCGAGUGUAGUCUGUAAAAGAUUGCUUUUCCAUAGAGUAAUAUCCUGUGGGAAUAAGAGGGGGGCAAGACUGGUGUCAGCCGCCGCGGUAACACCAGCCCCUCGAGUGGUAGGGACUUUUAUUUGGCCUAAAGCGUUCGUAGCCGUCUGUAACCGUUGCCCGUUAAAUCCAGCGUCUCAAGCGUUGGACUGCGGGCGAUACCUUACAGAUUGAGGGUGGGAUAGGUAAGCGGUAUUUCUGGGGUAGGGGCGAAAUCCUUUGAUCCCAGGAGGACCACCAGUGGCGAAGGCUGCUGACUAGAACACGCCUGACGGACAGGAACGAAAGCUGGGGUAGCGAACCGGAUUAGAUACCCGGGUAGUCCCAGCUGUAAACGAUGCGCGCUAGGUGUUGGGUCGGCCAUGCGCCGCCCCAGUGCCGCAGGGAAGCCGUUAAGCGCGCCGCCUGGGGAGUACGGCCGCAAGGCUGAAACUUAAAGGAAUUGGCGGGGGAGCAC
rnacentral:rRNA from 1 species